rnacentral:tRNA from 1 species
UCGUUGUUGGCGACGCGGGUGGUGUCGCGGGUCCGGAGUCUGUUCGGGGUUGAGGUUCCGGUGGCGGCAGUGUUCGAUGCGCCGACGGUGGCC